rnacentral:rRNA from 1 species
GAUGAACGCUGGCGGCGUGCCUAAUACAUGCAAGUCGAGCGAACAGACGAGGAGCUUGCUCCUUUGACGUUAGCGGCGGACGGGUGAGUAACACGUGGGUAACCUACCUAUAAGACUGGGAUAACUUCGGGAAACCGGAGCUAAUACCGGAUAAUAUUUCGAACCGCAUGGUUCGAUAGUGAAAGAUGGCUCUGCUAUCACUUAUAGAUGGACCUGCGCCGUAUUAGCUAGUUGGUAAGGUAACGGCUUACCAAGGCAACGAUACGUAGCCGACCUGAGAGGGGGAUGGGCCACACGGGAACUGAGACCCGGUCCAGACCCCUACGGGGGGCAGCAGUAGGGAAUCUUCCGCAAUGGGGGAAAGCCUGACGGAGCAACGCCGCGUGGGGGAUGAAGGUUUUCGGAUCGUAAAACUUUUUUAUUAGGAAAAAAAAAACGUUUAAGUAACUGGGCACGUUUUGACGGUACCUAAUCAAAAAGCCGUGGCUAACUACGU